rnacentral:rRNA from 1 species
UACGAAGGGUGCAAGCGUUACUCGGAAUUACUGGGCGUAAAGCGUGCGUAGGUGGUUUGUUAAGUCUGAUGUGAAAGCCCUGGGCUCAACCUGGGAACUGCAUUGGAAACUGGCUUACUAGAGUGCGGUAGAGGCGAGUGGAAUUCCCGGUGUAGCGGUGAAAUGCGCAGAUAUCGGGAGGACACCUAUUGCGAAGGCAAUCCCCUGGGCCUGCACUGACGCUCAUGCACGAAAGCGUGGGGAGCAAACAGG